GGGUGGAGCAGCCCGGUAGCUCGUCAGGCUCAUAACCUGAAGGUCACAGGUUCAAAUCCUGUCCCCGCAACCAU
rnacentral:tRNA from 1 species